GGAUCAUUAAAGAGUUUAAUAAAACUCCUAAACCCCUGUGAACUUACUGGUGUUUGGCUCGCCAGAUAUAGUCUGGUCCGUAAGCAAAUCGACUGCCUGCCUGUUACACAGGCAGGUAAGCUUUUGUCGCGGGGUCCCGGAUCAACCCGGGCUAGAUAGCCACUUAACUAUAUACUUUUUAUAAAAUCUGUGAACUUACUAGGUUGGAUUCUCGCCAGAGAUAGUCUGGUUUCUGCUUCGCGGAUCGCCUACCCGUGACACCUGUCACAGGCAGGUAUGCUUCUGCCGCGGGUCCGUAAGUAAAUCAUCUGUUUCGCAAGGGACGGCGAUUUACCUGUGGAAGAGGUCCGCUAACUAUAUUCUUAGUAUAGUUUGUUCACUAGAUCAAACAUUCUGAAUAAAAACUUAAACUAGUUAAAACUUUCAACAACGGAUCUCUUGGUUCUGGCAUCGAUGAAGAACGCAGCGAAAUGCGAUAAGUAAUGUGAAUUGCAGAAUUCAGUGAAUCAUCGAAUCUUUGAACGCACAUUGCGCCCAUUAGUAUUCUAGUGGGCAUGCCUGUUCGAGCGUCAUUUCAACCCUUAAGCCCCUGUUGCUUAGCGUUGGGAGCCUACAGCCUGCUGUAGCUCCUUAAAGGUAGUGGCGGAGUCGGUUCACACUCUAGACGUAGUAAAAUCUUUAUCUCGCCUAUGGAUGAGCCGGCGCCUUGCCGUAAAACCCCUAAUCUUUCACAAGGUUGACCUCGGAUCAGGUAGGAAUACCCGCUGAACUUAAGCAUAUCAAUAAGCGGAGGAAAAGAAACCAACAGGGAUUGCCCUAGUAACGGCGAGUGAAGCGGCAACAGCUCAAAUUUGAAAUCUGGCCUUCGGGUCCGAGUUGUAAUUUGCAGAGGAUGCUUUGGGCGCGGUGCCUUCCGAGUUCCCUGGAACGGGACGCCUUAGAGGGUGAGAGCCCCGUACGGUUGGACACCAAGCCUCUGUAAAGCUCCUUCGACGAGUCGAGUAGUUUGGGAAUGCUGCUCUAAAUGGGAGGUAAAUUUCUUCUAAAGCUAAAUAUUGGCCAGAGACCGAUAGCGCACAAGUAGAGUGAUCGAAAGAUGAAAAGCACUUUGAAAAGAGGGUUAAAUAGCACGUGAAAUUGUUGAAAGGGAAGCGUUUGCGACCAGACCUUUUCCCAGCGGAUCAUCCGGUGUUCUCACCGGUGCACUUCGCUGGGUUGAGGCCAGCAUCGGUUUCCGCAGGGGGAUAAAAGCCUGGGGAACGUAGCUCCCUCGGGAGUGUUAUAGCCCCUCGCAUAAUACCCUUGCGGGGACCGAGGACCGCGCU
rnacentral:rRNA from 2 species